rnacentral:rRNA from 1 species
UACGUAGGGGGCAAGCGUUGUCCGGAAUCAUUGGGCGUAAAGCGCACGUAGGCGGCCCGGUAAGUCCGUUGUGAAAGUCAGAGGCUCAACCUCUGGAGGCCAAUGGAUACUGCCGGGCUAGAGUCCGGAAGAGGCGAGUGGAAUUCCUGGUGUAGCGGUGAAAUGCGCAGAUAUCAGGAGGAACACCAAUGGCGAAGGCAGCUCGCUGGGACGUGACUGACGCUGAGACGCGAAAGCGUGGGGAGCAAACAGG